rnacentral:rRNA from 1 species
UACAGAGGGGGCAAGCGUUGUCCGGAAUUACUGGGCGUAAAGAGCUCGUAGGUGGUUUGUCGCGUUGUUCGUGAAAACUCACAGCUCAACUGUGGGCGUGCGGGCGAUACGGGCAGACUUGAGUACUGCAGGGGAGACUGGAAUUCCUGGUGUAGCGGUGGAAUGCGCAGAUAUCAGGAGGAACACCGGUGGCGAAGGCGGGUCUCUGGGCAGUAACUGACGCUGAGGAGCGAAAGCGUGGGGAGCGAACAGG